GGUUGCCUCUGGCUCACUGGGAUCAGCAGUUCGAUCGCCUACAACUGGUCGCGGCCCAAUAUGAAGCCUAGCGUCAAGAUCAUCCACGCAAGGUUAGUUUAUUUUCUCAUUUUUAUUUCACUCCUUUAACUUUUUGCGCGUUUUUAACUACAGGAUAGCAUGUCUUGUAUUAUCAUAAAGAAGAACACCGCAAUUGAUUUAUUCUUUUCUUAGAUCCAAUAACUUAAUUAGUCUUGAACAUUUCAUAUUUUUAAAACUACUACAAUUAAAAAUGGUUGAUUUUCUUGUCUGCGUCUGAAACUCCGUUUGAGAGCUAAUCUGCAAUAUGAAAAAGCCCGACCAACUUACAUGUUCCUAGACCUACAGGACUACAUCUCCACGGACUUCAUAUGAUUUUUUGGAAGUUUCUGUAAGGCUGGCUUAUUAGGUAUAACAUUGCUCAAUAACUGCUAAGAUUCCAGCCACAGUUAGGUAGGAUGGACUUGGCAUCAGGAUUGUAAGUAAAGAUCGGUGGUCUGGCAAGAAGUUUGAUUUGAUUGUAGAAAAGUCUCUGGUUUCAAUCGUUGUUAACUGUUGGUAGUGGUUAUAAAGUAGGUGGUGACAUUUGGCACAAGCACAAAUGCAGGGAUACCGUGGGUUUGCUGUGCCUGGAGGAAAAUAGUUGGUCUUGAUUCUUUUCAAAUAUACAGCAUUGGUUUAUAAGGUUGUAUGACAGUGUGUAUUUAUAUGGAUUUGGUUUCACAAAUUGGUUUGGGUGCCUGCCUGAUAGUGUUACCUUAUCUCCUGUAGUCCUGUUUUAAGCGUGCAGUCGUACCAUUCAAAAGAAAAGUUAAAGUUUAGUAGCUUCUUGGUUAUUGCAGACCUGUGCUUGAUGAUCUGUUAGGUAUAUACACUGGUAUUUGUCCUUACAUGAUGUAAGGAGUAAUUUAGGCAGCCUCUAGUUUAGUCUUUAAGCUCAUAAGGUUGUAAGAGUACCAAGUUCUCUCUGUUUCCUGCACCUUUAUGCAUUGGCUUAUAUGACCUGUCCACUCCAGCCUAAAAGUAAAAGAACAUCCGCAGAUGCAUUACCCAAUCCCUUGUCAAACUACUUUAGAUUGAACUUUUUAAUGCGUUUUCACACCCUCCUCCAAAGUCCUAAUUUGCUUAUUUCUUCUGAAUGUUCUGUAAGCCUGUCCAAGCCUAACUGCCAAAUUUGGGCGUGUUUACCUAGUUCAGCACAUAAAAUAUCUGAACUGUUGCUAUACCUUUGGCAUUCUGCCAAUAAUAGGAAACUCCUUGCCUUUUUUUUUUUGCCAAAAUGGGAUGAAAACAGAUGCUACUUAAUUGAUGGUUCCAAUUUUUGCAAGUUUUUAGGGCCUACCUGCAUAAACAUAAAAACACCCUUAAAACCACUAUGGAUUGAACUUGUACAUUGAUCUUUCUCAUGUUGAAGGAUAGUGUUGUACAAAAUCCUUGAUGAACCUUCUCGCUGUGGCUGUUAAUUGGUGCAACCUUCACCUCAUAUAUUGCAGUAGUCAACAAUGUUGUAAGAUAGGUUAAAUUCAACUGCUAAUCAAUCGCAUGUAAAUGUACCGAAGAUGAUUGUUUUCAACUUUUCAUUCUGUAUCAUCUUUUGCUAUUUAUUUGCCUCUGGCUCUGAGCUCUUUUUAAUUCACAUAUAUAUGGCUUGUACAUGUUGUACUUCAUUGCACCUGCUUCGCUGAUGUUACUUCUCAUAGUGCUCAUUUCAUAACGGGUUCUGCGGUUUUAAAAAGAUAGUGUGCAUGACAAUUUGAUCUUAGAUUGGCGACCUUAGAUUGUGUGCAUGACAAUUUCAUAACAAUUGCUUAGAUUGGCAACCUUUGUUGCACGUAGACUGUAGCCACUGCAUGUAUUACUGAAUAUAGAAAUUGCAGCUGUUUUAAUACACACAGAUUCCAGAUGACUUCACUUGUAUUCAAUUCUAUCAUGCUAUUAUUUGAAAACUCACAAUCCUAACAUCUCAUAAACUGUUGACUUUUGCAGGUUGCAUGCGCAGGCUCUAACCCUUGCUGCAUUGGUUGGUUCUGCAUGUGUGGAGUACUAUGAUAACAAAUAUGGUUCUUCUGGGCCUAAGGUGGACAAGUACACAAGCCAAUACCUGGCACACUCGCAUAAAGAUUAAGAUCUCCAUGUUCAUUCCUGCAUAGCGGAUUAAUUUUGGGCUCAUUUCUGGGUGCUCAACUGCUCAUUAACUAUGUCCCUGGAUGCUGGAUGGUUCUUCUUUGCCCCCUUAUUAAUGCAAAAUGACAGUGUACUUGCCAGGGCAUUCCUGGGAAAUGGCAUAGAGGGUGUAAUGGUGAUAUCACCUUCAUAAUUUAGCCUCAGGUUGCAUUAUGCAACAUCACAUUGUGAACCUUCCUUGGAUGUUUUUAUCUUUUUUCCCCAAAGAAAAGCAAAGGAGAGAGAUCCUGGUUUUUGCCGAACUGUUUUGUGUUCUCUGUCUCUUGUUCAUGCGUGCUUGUAUGCUGCUGGCAACGCAAAUCAGAGAUGCUUUUAACGAUGAUUUGUAGUUGUGGAUAUGUACUACUCGCAAAUUACAACUUUAUUAUAAUAAAAUUCAGCCUAUGCUCUAUACAAAAUCAACUCAUUUUGUGGUCCCUUCUUUUGAGAAAUUUUGUGGCGUCUUCCAAAGAAUUGAAACGCUAGAAUUUGUGUGGUCCGUUAAAAUUCUAGGGGAUCAUUGCGCCUGCUCUCCGAUGCACAAUUUAGUUUUUUAAAAAAUAGCCUGCAUAGACGCCGACAGGUGGAGCCCGUCACAUUACGCCUGGUGCGUCAAAACUCGAAGACCCCAACACCUUCCCGGGCGGCGGCGGCGGCGGCGGCUCGAUGCUACCCCGAUGCGGACGCCGGAGACCAUCGGCCCGCUCCUCGCCCGCUACGGUGCGUCGCGGUCGCUGCUCGCGGGGGCGCACCUCCACUCCCACCUCCUCAAGUCUGGCCUCCUCGCCGCCUGCCGCAACCACCUCAUCUCGUUCUACUCCCGAUGCCGCCUUCCGCGCGCCGCGCGCGCGGUGUUCGACGAAAUCCCGGACCCGUGCCAUGUCUCCUGGUCCUCGCUCGUCACCGCCUACUCCAACAACUCCAUGCCCCGGGAGGCGCUCGGGGCGUUCCGGGCCAUGCGCAGCCGCGGCGUCCGGUGCAACGAGUUCGCGCUCCCCGUCGUGCUCAAGUGCGCGCCGGACGCCAGGCUCGGCGCGCAGGUGCACGCGCUGGCGGUGGCCACGGCGCUCGACGGGGACGUCUUCGUCGCCAACGCGCUCGUGGCCAUGUACGGCGGGUUCGGCAUGGUGGACGAGGCCAGGAGGAUGUUCGACGAGUCUGGUGGCGCCAUCAGCAAGGAGAGGAACGCUGUCUCUUGGAACGGCAUGAUGUCGGCGUACGUCAAGAACGACCGGUGUGGGGACGCCAUCGGGGUGUUCCGUGAGAUGGUGUGGAGCGGGGCGCGGCCGAACGAGUUUGGGUUCUCCUGCGUCGUGAAUGCGUGCACGGGGGCCAGGGAUUCGGAAGCCGGGAGGCAGGUGCACGCCAUGGUGGUGAGGAUGGGUUAUGACGAGGAUGUGUUCACAGCAAAUGCGCUGGUCGACAUGUACUCGAAGCUGGGGGACAUUGAUAUGGCAGCGGUGGUUUUUGAGAAGAUGCCUGCAGUGGAUGUUGUCUCGUGGAAUGCUUUUAUUUCCGGAUGUGUGAUUCAUGGCCAUGAUCAUCGUGCACUGGAGUUGCUGAUCCAGAUGAAGUCUUCGGGGCUGGUGCCCAAUGUGUAUACAUUGUCUACUAUCCUGAAGGCUUGUGCUGGUGCUGGUGCAUUCAAUUUGGGCCGGCAAAUUCAUGGGUUUAUGAUCAAGGCCGAUGCAGUUUCAGAUGAAUUCAUCGGUGUUGGUCUUGUCGAUAUGUAUGCAAAGGAUGGGUUUUUGGAUGAUGCAAGGAAGGUGUUCAAUUUCAUGCCCCAAAAGAAUUUGAUUUUGUGGAAUGCACUGAUCUCAGGUUGCUCUCAUGAUGGACAAUGUGGCGAGGCGCUGUCACUCUUUCGCAGGAUGAGAAUGGAGGGGCUUGACCUUGAUGUCAAUAGGACAACACUGGCUGCUGUUCUCAAGUCAACAGCGAGCUUGGAGGCAAUCAGUCACACAAGACAGGUCCAUGCUCUUGCAGAGAAGAUAGGGCUCCUAUCUGACUCUCAUGUCAUCAAUGGGCUUAUUGAUUCAUACUGGAAGUGUGACUGCCUCAAUGACGCAGUUAGGGUUUUUGAAGAAAGCUGUCCUGAUGACAUCAUAUCUUCUACAUCCAUGAUAACAGCACUCUCACAGUCUGACCAUGGUGAGGAUGCAAUAAAGCUGUUUGUGCAGAUGCUAAGGAAAGGGCUUGAGCCUGAUUCUUUUGUACUAAGUAGCCUCCUGAAUGCUUGUGCUAGUCUGUCGGCCUAUGAACAAGGAAAGCAAGUGCAUGCUCAUCUGAUCAAGAGGCAGUUCACGUCAGAUGUGUUUGCAGGGAAUGCUCUUGUGUACACCUAUGCAAAAUGUGGGAGCAUAGAGGAUGCAGACAUGGCCUUCUCUGGCCUACCAGAGAGGGGAGUUGUCUCAUGGUCUGCAAUGAUCGGAGGGCUCGCGCAGCAUGGACAAGGGAAGAGAUCGUUGGAAUUGUUCCAUAGAAUGCUUGAUGAGGGCGUUGCCCCAAACCACAUCACUUUGACCAGUGUUCUCUCUGCUUGUAACCAUGCAGGGCUUGUUGAUGAGGCCAAGAAAUACUUUGAGUCAAUGAAGGAGAUGUUUGGAAUUGACAGGACCGAGGAGCAUUACUCGUGCAUGAUUGAUCUUCUUGGCCGUGCAGGGAAAUUAGAGGAUGCGAUGGAGCUUGUCAACAACAUGCCAUUCGAAGCUAAUGCUGCAGUUUGGGGUGCACUCUUAGGAGCCUCAAGAGUUCACCAAGAUCCCGAGCUGGGAAGGUUAGCAGCUGAAAAGCUCUUCACUCUAGAGCCAGAGAAGUCUGGCACACAUGUCCUGCUUGCAAACACUUAUGCUUCAGCAGGCAUGUGGGAUGAGGUGGCUAAGGUGCGGAAGCUAAUGAAAGAAAGUAACCUCAAGAAGGAGCCUGCUAUGAGCUGGGUUGAGAUGAAGGACAAGGUGCAUACUUUCAUUGUCGG
rnacentral:lncRNA from 1 species